CAUCCUUGCCCAGCCUCACUAGACAUUU
rnacentral:piRNA from 1 species